UACGUAGGGUGCAAGCGUUGUCCGGAAUUAUUGGGCGUAAAGAGCUCGUAGGCGGUCUGUCGCGUCGGCUGUGAAAACUCGGGGCUCAACUCCGAGCUUGCAGUCGAUACGGGCAGGCUAGAGUUCGGCAGGGGAGACUGGAAUUCCGGGUGUAGCGGUGGAAUGCGUAGAGAUCCGGAAGAACACCGGUGGCGAAGGCGGCCUGCUGGGCAGUUGCUGACACUGAGGCGCGACAGCGUGGGGAGCAAACAGG
rnacentral:rRNA from 1 species